GAUGAACGCUAGCGGGAGGCCUAACACAUGCAAGCCGAGCGGUAGAGAUCUUUCGGGAUCUUGAGAGCGGCGUACGGGUGCGGAACACGUGUGCAACCUGCCUUUAUCAGGGGGAUAGCCUUUCGAAAGGAAGAUUAAUACCCCAUAAUAUUUAGAAUGGCAUCAUUUUAAAUUGAAAACUCCGGUGGAUAGAGAUGGGCACGCGCAAGAUUAGAUAGUUGGUAGGGUAACGGCCUACCAAGUCUGCGAUCUUUAGGGGGCCUGAGAGGGUGAUCCCCCACACUGGUACUGAGACACGGACCAGACUCCUAUGGGAGGCAGCAGUGAGGAAUAUUGGACAAUGGGUGCGAGCCUGAUCCAGCCAUCCCGCGUGAAGGAUGACGGCCCUAUGGGUUGUAAACUUCUUUUGUAUAGGGAUAACCUAGAUACGUGUAUCUAGCUGAAGGUACUAUACGAAUAAGCACCGGCUAACUCCGUGCCAGCCGCCGCGGUAA
rnacentral:rRNA from 1 species